GCUGGGCAUGGUGGCGGGUGCCUGUGAUCUCAGCUACUCAGGAGGCUGAGGCAGGAGAAUUGCUUGAACCCAGGAGGUGGAGGGUGCAGUGAGCGGAGAUUGCACCACUGCCCUCCAGCCUGGGUGACAGAGUGAGACCCAGUCUCAA
rnacentral:SRP_RNA from 1 species